CAGCAGCCGCGGUAAUACCGGCGGCCCGAGUGGCGGUCACUAUUAUUGGGCUUAAAGCGUCCGUAGCCGGGUUGGGAAGUCCUCCGGGAAAUCUGGCCGCUUAAAGGUCAGAAUGCCGGAGGAUACUCCCAGCCUAGGGAGCGGGAGAGGCCGAGGGUAUUCCCGGAGUAGGGGUGAAAUCCUAUAAUCCCGGGAGGACCACCUGUGGCGAAGGCGCUCGGCUGGAACGCGUCCGACGGUGAGGGACGAAGGCCAGGGGAGCAAACCGGAUUAGAUACCCGGGUAGUCCUGGCUGUAAACGAUGCGGACUUUGUGUCGGACAAGCUAUGAGCUUGUCCGGUGCCGGAGGGAAACCGUUAAGUCCGCCGCCUGGGGAGUACGGCCGCAAGGCUGAAACUUAAAGGAAUUGGCGGG
rnacentral:rRNA from 1 species